rnacentral:lncRNA from 10 species
CCGGGCCAGCAUCCGAGAGCCCGGACUGGAGGAGUUGAGAAGAGGAGGAAGAAUAAUGGGAGGAGACAGGACCUUUUUCAACUUGACAAAUAGAGUCAACUUUUAUAACACUGUUACUGGGAAUACUUGACUUACUAAGCUUUUACUGAACACUUUAAUUUUGGGAGUACAAUUUCUAAACUCACGAAAUAAUCUUCAUGCAACAAGAUGUUAUUUUAUCAAAUUUUGGUAUUACAUGCUCAUUCUUUGACAAAUUUUAAUUAACAGAUUUCUGAGAGAGCAGACACCAUCUUAUUUCUGUUGAAUUGUAUUUAGUAACUCAAAAGGCAUAUACCAAGCUGUCAGAAGCAGCUUCAUUUAAAAGAAAUAAAAUUUCUAGUCCUGCCUGAAGUUUAAGCUAGCCCAUGACUACACAAGUGCAACUGUAUUUCCCAGAAUUAAAGCAGCAGCCUUGGAUCCAGAGAUGGACGCCAAUUGAUGAAGACAGCAGAACUGACUGGCUAGUCUGGGUUCCCUGGAGCAGAGCUGUCUCUCCACCCUAGGUUAUCCACUUACUUUUGUACUGUUAUGUGAGAGAGAAAUAAACUUCUAUCUUCUUUAA